GAGGAGUCCCAUCCUCCGGGGCCUUCAGAGAGGGUGGAGCGGACUCUUUCCCAGCAGCUGCCCGUUUCCUGCAGUGCUGGCUGCUUGUUACCGUGAAACUGACAGGUACCCCAGAGCUGAGCCUGUGCCUGCCAGAGCCUUCAUCCAACUAACCCCCGAUCCUUUGGGCCCUUUCUUUCACUUCUUUCCUUUGCUUCUUCUUCUUCUUCUUCUUUUUUUUUUUUUGUAGAGGCAGAGUCUCCUGCGUUGCCCAGGCUGGUCGCACACUCCUGGCCUCAAGUGAUUUUCCUGCCUCGGCCUCCCAAAGUGCUGGGAUUACUGGCAUGAGCCUGGCCUGCAGCGUUUUGAAGCAUGUUUCUAGGGCAGGUGGUCAGCAGACCGGAAGCCACGGCCCCACCACCCAGGCCUCUGUUUUCUCCCUGGUAGAGCAGGGAUGCAGCAGCCCCAGCUUCCAGGUUCCCCCUGCGGAAGCCCAGCCCACCCAGUUCUGAGCAAUGGGGGUUGGGCAGUUUCUCCAGGCCCAGUGGUUCCAUUAGACCCAAGUAGACUGGAGCACAGUGGACUCUCGGGACUCACAGCGGACCCUCAGGGCUCACGGUGGACCCUCGGGGCUCAGAGUGGACCCUCAGGCCCUCACAGCAGACCCUUAGCACUCAUGGUGGACCCUCGGGCUCACGGCGGACCCUCAGGUGCUCAGAUACUUUGCACUUAGGAAAGGAGCUAUGCCUCUUGGUGGCCAGGUCACGUAGGAAAUGAGCCUAACCUGGAACCCGCCCCUUGACUACCUGACCUCUAGUACAGACAGGCGGCGAGUCGGCAGGUGAGUGGCAGCAGCCAGGCCCAAAGGGCCACUGACCACUGGCUGUCCCCUGGUGCAGAGAGGAAAACUGAGGCUCAGAGGGCGCAUGAGGCCAGGAAGUAGAGUCAGGUCCCACCGAGGGGCUUCUGCUGACCCAAGACCCUGUGGAGGGAACCUGGAAGUGGAGGGACCUGCAGGUGCCCCGUAUUCCCCCCAGGGGCUUGCCAUCUUCCUGCCCUCCCAGCGCCCAGGAGGCUGAGCCUUGGCAAGAUGGCAGCUUUUGCCUAAAUUGCAUCAAAGUGAGCAGAAAGAGUGGUGAGCAAAGUAGAAUCUGCUUGUUUCCGAGGAUCAGCGAGAAGGCACAUGUGAAGCUCACCCCGGUUCUGUCUGUUUCUGCUCUCGUACGAAGACCCCAUAUGGAGCCAGUGACAACCGGGGCCCGUGGGGAAGGCAGGACGAGGACUGGGCCACGCUGCUCAGCACAGGGUCAGCUGGCUGGACUAGGGUCGGCUGGCCAGGUGCGGAGUGGGCUGGUCAGGCGUGGGCUGGGCUGGUCAGGUGUGGGACGGGCUGGUUAGGUGUGGGCUGGGCUGGUCAGGCGUGGGGUCGGCUGGUCAGGCGUGGGCUGGGC
rnacentral:lncRNA from 1 species